AAAAAAUAAAUUAUAAUAAAUCUCAUAAAACAUAAAAGAAUAGUAUAACUCUAAAUGAAAUUUCAAUUUAAAGAAAACAAGUCAAUUUGGUACUCAUAUUCUUGAUAAUCUACAUUUUUUUCUAUUUCUUUUUUUAUUCCUUCAUUAUGGACGUACAAAUUUUCUACACAUUUAUUUUAUUUUAUUUUUUGCUUUAUUUCAUUCAUUCUUCUUGUACCACUCCUGACAAUUUUAUUGCGCAUUUCUCUUCUAUUUUCCAUUUCUUUAUUGAUGGUUAAAAGGAAAUAGAUACUUUUUUUUUACUAGAGAUAACAUGCUUGGCUAACCGUUCAAAAAAUAUUUCCAGGAGGAACUGAACGUAUUUUUGAAAAGUAAAUUUUUUUAAAAUAAUUUUUUUUUAUAUGCAUUCCUCUUCUGCAGUGGAGGAUUACAUAGGCGCAGUGAAGAAAUCGUUACCACCCGGCAUGCCUAGAGCUUGAUGAAGUUCAAGUGGACAAAAUUUAAUUGAGUUUGCUGAGAACAGAUAGAUACCUAUCUCAUAAUAGAUUUGAAUUUCUAGUAUCUGUCAUGAGAUAGAUCUGAGUCAUGAUAAAUUUGAAGUCCUGAUUGACUCUUUGCAGUCGAGUUUUGUAACUGAACGGUUAUUUGUAUAAAGAUUAUAAUAGUCCCUUUAAAUAAGAACCCCCAUCUACGUUUUACUCUCAUAAAUGUCAGGUUUUAUCAAAUUUUCAACACAUUCAAACACACAUUAUUUUGUACACGAGCAACAAGUAUAUGCACAUAUCACUUAAUUUCAUUGAAACAUAUACUUACUUUAUCUCCUAAUGUUUGGUUUUGCAAGUUUUCCUCUUGUUUUCUCCUAACAAAGAUACAUCUCAAAGUGAACAUGUGCAGUUGUUACAACCAGUUCGAACAGAAGCAACACGAAGAAAUUAAGCGUGUGAGAGAUAGAGAGAGAUG
rnacentral:lncRNA from 1 species